rnacentral:rRNA from 1 species
UAACCUGCCCAAGAGAUCGGGAUAACACCUGGAAACAGAUGCUAAUACCGGAUAACAACAGAUGAUGCCUAUCAACUGUUUAAAAGAUGGUUCUGCUAUCACUCUUGGAUGGACCUGCGGUGCAUUAGCUAGUUGGUAGGGUAACGGCCUACCAAGGCGAUGAUGCAUAGCCGAGUUGAGAGACUGAUCGGCCACAUUGGGACUGAGACACGGCCCAAACUCCUACGGGAGGCAGCAGAC